GACGGGGGGGGCAAGUGUUCUUCGGAAUGACUGGGCGUAAAGGGCACGUGAGGCGGUGAAUCGGGUUGAAAGUGAAAGUCGCCAAAAAAGUGGCGGAAUGCUCUCGAAACCAAUUCACUUGAGUGAGACAGAGGAGAGUGGAAUUUCGUGUGUAGGGGUGAAAUCCGUAAAUAUACGAAGGAACGCCAAAAGCGAAGGCAGCUCUCUGGGUCCCUACCGACGCUGGGGUGCGAAAGCAUGGGGGAGCGAACAGG
rnacentral:rRNA from 1 species